AUGACAGUCACAGACAGAAAGACUGAUUCUGGCUUCUUGAUGCCCUGCUGCAAUACACAUCUUAUGGUGUGACUCCGCCUAGCUUCGUUCACUCACAAAACAAAGUGCCAUCUCCUCCAGGCAAUAACAGACCACUGCCAGAGAGACUGGAGGGUAAUCACCUCUACCGCUAUUCAAAAGUGUUAGAGGCCCACCUGGGUGACCCAAAACUAUGCCCUCUACCUGCCUGUCCUCACUUGUCUUGGGUCAAACCUCAGCCACUUAAUGAA